AAAAGUGCUUAUAGUGCAGGUAGAAUUUAAACCUACUGCACCAUAAGCACUUCCUGC
rnacentral:pre_miRNA from 1 species